GGGUUGUGAGGUUAAGCGACUAAGCGUACACGGUGGAUGCCCUGGCAGUCAGAGGCGAUGAAGGACGUGCUAAUCUGCGAUAAGCGUCGGUAAGGUGAUAUGAACCGUUAUAACCGGCGAUUUCCGAAUGGGGAAACCCAGUGUGAUUCGUCACACUAUCAUUAACUGAAUCCAUAGGUUAAUGAGGCGAACCGGGGGAACUGAAA
rnacentral:rRNA from 1 species